CUUCUUUGCUAAGCAAACCCCACCUCUGCCUCUUUAGCUCUCCCGCAUCCUUUCGCCGCCUCCGCUGCUUCUCCUCCCCGUUCCUCUCUCCUAGCCAAGCUCCAGCCCUCCUCCUUGACCGCCUCUCUACUUCUUUGAAGAAGUAGCACGGGCCGGCCGCUAUGCCUGAGCCGCCACAAGGUCAUCGGGUGGAGGAUCCGGUGCCGGCGAGCCACUCACGCCGGUGACUGAGGUCUCGGGGCAGCUGGAGUUGCCGUCGUCGUAUGGAGAAGGGUCGGCGGGGAUGAUGGUGUUGGGGUCUUUGAGGGGAAAGGCACCGCCGACGAGGACGGCGGCACGGCAAGGCCAACCCGGCACAGCCACGGCAUGCCACCGCCGCUUGUCCUCGUCGCGCGCCGGCGCCGCAGACGGCCAUCUCCAUGCCCCGCAGUCAAGCAGGAGUCGCGCAAGCAUGACGAGGAGAGGAGCCGAAGGAGAUGUGGAGCACAGUAGGGGGAGCAGAGGGGAUUGGUGCAAAGAAAAAUCUGAGAUUUUGGGUCAUUGGGGAUCGGUUACAUAUUCAGGGUUCAGACUUCAGACAUCAGCUCCUAAAAUGUGCUUACAGUUUUUCACUUCUACCGGUCCCUACAAAUAACAAUAUGGAUCAGCUAGGUGUUCCCUCGAGUGAAUUGCUAAUCAAAUCAGUGAAGCUGGGGUAGUUCCCUUACAAAGCGCUAAUUCCCAAUGCAUCUUGUUGUUUCAGGUGCUUGGACGAUGAGCAAACUAAUGCGACGAGAUCUUUCAAGUGAUCUACCUGCUGCAAGUGAUCAAUUUCGUCUGGAUUGGAUUUCCAUUUUAUCUUUGUGAUUGUUUUUCUGAAAAUCAAUCAAAUAAUAAUGCAUGAGGAGUAAAUCAUGCAUCCGUUGCUUUAUACUAAGCUUUCUCCACUGUUAACCUAAAAGAUUAGAGUUCAUGCCUAACUUGUGAGGCCUAGAUGUUUAAUUAGACUAUAAAACUCAGUAUUAUUCUUUGAAAGUUCCAACUUUCAACUACUUA